AUUGAACGCUGGCGGCAUGCCUUACACAUGCAAGUCGAACGGCAGCAUAGGAGCUUGCUCCUGAUGGCGAGUGGCGAACGGGUGAGUAAUAUAUCGGAACGUGCCCUAGAGUGGGGGAUAACUAGUCGAAAGACUAGCUAAUACCGCAUACGAUCUACGGAAGAAAGUGGGGGAUCGCAAGACCUCAUGCUGCUGGAGCGGCCGAUAUCUGAUUAGCUAGUUGGUGGGGUAAAAGCUCACCAAGGCGACGAUCAGUAGCUGGUCUGAGAGGACGACCAGCCACACUGGGACUGAGACACGGCCCAGACUCCUACGGGAGGCAGCAGUGGGGAAUUUUGGACAAGGGGGGCAACCCUGAUCCAGCAAUGCCGCGUGAGUGAAGAAGGCCUUCGGGUUGUAAAGCUCUUUUGUCAGGGAAGAAACGGUUCUGGAUAAUACCUGGAGCUAAUGACGGUACCUGAAGAAUAAGCACCGGCUAACUACGUGCCAGCCGCCGCCGUAA
rnacentral:rRNA from 1 species